UUGUGUGCACGGGAGAUUUAAACAUAAGAAUUUCGUUGAUCAAAAUUAACGUGUCGUGUAAAAAAUUGGUGAUGAUAAAAUACAAUACGAACUGAAAACAAUUCCAUCUUUAAAUUGUCGUCGAUGACUUAAUGUGCACCCAACAAUCACACAAACAACGUCUACAACAACAAAUUCAAUACCAACUGCGGCUAAAAAUCUACCGUUAAUUAAGUAUUUGUUGCAUCAGUAACUCUCAAACACUUGAACCGGAUAUUAACCAUUAAAAGUAAUAACGGCGGCUUUAAGUGCAGCGAUAGCAACACAACUCUAAGCAGAGCAUCUUGAGAAAAUAACACAGCAACAAAGCAUUCACCAAGCACAAAGGAAACACAACAACAAUAACAAUAACAAUAACAACAAACUGUAAAAAAGCUUUUGCGCUGCCGCACCAAGGUCGUUUGAUUUAAGAAGGAAAAAACCAAAAAUAAGAGAAAAACAAGUUAAGCAUUGAAUACGUCGUCGGUCGUACAACAUGCAAGCAGUGUAUGAGAAGUGUUAGUUUUGUGGUCGUUUCGAACGAGUUGGCAACGACACGAACGUUUGAAGCAAUCUGAAGUGGUUGGAAGCAGUUUGAGAGGCGGUUGCAACACACACGUACAACGCACAACGUACAACGUCAACGUACAACAGAAUCAGGACAGGAUAAUAAAGACAACACAUUUUCAGUUUGGAGCAAACAUUUGACGCGAAUGCAAGUCAGAACUUCAUUUGUUGCAUUGGAACAAAGAUCUCCGUUGACAGUGGAGCCGUCUUGUCCAAAGAG